UACGUAGGUGGCAAGCGUUGUCCGGAAUUAUUGGGCGUAAAGCGCGCGUAGGCGGCUCGGCAAGUCGGGCGUGAAAUGCCGGGGCUCAACCCCGGGACUGCGUCCGAUACUUCCGAGCUGGAGGUAGGUAGGGGAGAUCGGAAUUCCUGGUGUAGCGGUGAAAUGCGCAGAUAUCAGGAGGAACACCUGCGGUGUAGACGGCUUACUGGACCAUAACUGACGCUGAGGCACGAAAGCGUGGGUAGCAAACAGG
rnacentral:rRNA from 1 species